rnacentral:tRNA from 1 species
UCCCUGGUGGUCUAGUGGCUAAGAUUCGGCGCUUUCACCGCCGCGGCCCGGGUUCGAUUCCCGGUCAGGGAA